rnacentral:rRNA from 1 species
AUUGAACGCUGGCGGCAGGCCUAACACAUGCAAGUCGAACGAGUGGCGGACGGGUGAGUAAUGUCUGGGAAACUGCCUGAUGGAGGGGGAUAACUACUGGAAACGGUAGCUAAUACCGCAUACCAUCGGAUGUGCCCAGAUGGGAUUAGCUAGUAGGUGGGGUAAAGGCUCACCUAGGCGACGAUCCCUAGCUGGUCGGAGAGGUUGACCAGCAAAACGGGAACUGAGACACGGGCCAGACUCCUACGGGGGGAAGCAGAGGGGAAUAUUGCACAAUGGGGGCAAGCCGGAUGAAGCCAUGCCGCGUGUAUAAAGAAGGCCUUCGGGUGGUAAAGUAUUUUCAGCGGGGAGGCGUUACCCGCAGAAGAAGCACCGGCUAACUCCGUGCCAGCAGCCGCGGUAAUAC